CCUACGGGAGGCAGCAGUGGGGAAUAUUGGACAAUGGGGGCAACCCUGAUCCAGCCAUGCCGCGUGUGUGAAGAAGGCCCUCGGGUUGUAAAGCACUUUCAGUGAGGAAGAACGCCUGGUGGUUAAUACCCAUCAGGAAAGACAUCACUCACAGAAGAAGCACCGGCUAACUCCGUGCCAGCAGCCGCGGUAAUACGGAGGGUGCGAGCGUUAAUCGGAAUUACUGGGCGUAAAGCGCGCGUAGGUGGCUUGAUAAGCCGGUUGUGAAAGCCCCGGGCUCAACCUGGGAACGGCAUCCGGAACUGUCAAGCUAGAGUGCAGGAGAGGAAGGUAGAAUUCCCGGUGUAGCGGUGAAAUGCGUAGAGAUCGGGAGGAAUACCAGUGGCAAAGGCGGCCUUCUGGACUGACACUGACACUGAGGUGCGAAAGCGUGGGUAGCAAACAGGAUUAGAUACCCGUGUAGUC
rnacentral:rRNA from 1 species